GCUGACGGUGGCCUAAUGGUUAGGGAGUUGGGCUCCAGAUCGAGCGGUCUGGGUUCGAGCGCUGGCCGAGGUCA